CUCUAGUUUCAUUCUUUUCCAUAGUUAUUCAUGGAGUUUUUUUUUUUGAAUUAUUUGGUGAUGUAUCUCAUACCUUGUAUAUGGUUAAUUUUCAGCUAAGGCUGUGCAAGCAGAAUGGAGGAGGUGACCUUGCAGAAAUUGGGGUUUCAAGGAAAGACGUCACAUCAAGCAGUUGUAAAACUUGAAGCUGGACUGAGAGGAAAAACAGUUGUGUGGUGUGCCUGGAGACUCUACUUGUCUAUUGUUAUCGUGGUGCUUUCGAUCUAUUCUGUAUAGUCUUAGGAUAUACUGUAUGGUGUGAUAUCAUUAGGGAUUGUUUGUGCUG